UUUGAGAGACGAGGCUUUAAUGAGAGUCGAGGCCUCCGUCAGCCAGAGAGAAAUGUAUGCAAAUGAUAUGCACACAGCAGAAAGGACCCCGGCCGAGCUCCCGCUGAGCUCUGAGGAAGAUGAGCGGCUCAGGAGCCGAAAAUGAUUCAGCGCCGCAGGGCCGCAGCGAGGAGGGCAGCAGCAGUCCGGAGCACCUCCAUCCUGGAGGAAUGGAGAACCGCUUCCAGGAGGUGCUAUGCUCUGAAAAACUUUCACCAUCCCACCAAUACGUACACAAGCCUGCUCCAGAAGAUACAGCUGAGGAGGAGUAAUGUGAAGCUGAUAGACAGUAAUGCUGCUGAUGACGUUUUCCAAGCUGCAUAUGUAAAUGUCAUUGUGCUUACUGUUGUGCAAUGUUUUUUUCUAAUUUUUCGAUGAUUUGAGAUUUCAUAAUAUCUGUGAAUGAAAAAUUGAAGAGUUACGGUUACAUUUUUACUGGCAAGAGUAAAAAAAAUGUUUUUUGUUCUUCUUUAAUCAUUGUGAACGAUAAAGAUCAUUACAAUUGUGAUAUUGUCUUUCUGUUGUAGGAAAAAACCUUUCAUGAUUUUUAUGUUAUGACAUUUGUUAAUGACGUACAUUUUUAGGACUUUUUUAUGGCAUACUAUACUAUGACCUUCUUUAUUACAUUUUUAUGACAUUGUUUUUUGGCAUAAUAUACAGGGACUUUUUCAUGACAAAUUUUAUAGCUUAAUAUACAGAUACUUUAUUUAUGAAAUGUUUUACUCCAUACUAUACUGAGACGCAUUUAUGACAUUUUAUGACAUACUAUAGUAUGACUUUUUAAUGACAUUUUAUGGCAAACAAUACUAUGAAUUUUUCAUGACUUUUUUCAACACACUUUGCUAUGACUUAUAUCGACCUAUUAUACAUUUAGUGUUUCUGACAUACUAUACUAUUAUUUUUUUCAACAUACUAUACUAUGACUUUUUUAUGACCUUUUUAUGAAGUUUUGAUGCAAAAUAUACAUGGUCAGUUACUGGUACUGUACCUCGUAGUCUUUGACUGUUUUUUCUGUCUGACUGUACUAUUUUAAUGUUUCUGUCUGUCUGUUUUAACUGUUUGUGUUAUGUCAUGUAUUGUACGUAUUAUGUUUUGUCCGUUCUGUGGACCCCGGGAAGGAUCCAGUUAAUAAACA